UCCCGUGCGGGUUGCAUCCCCGCAUCUCCCGUUUCAUUAUUUCACCAUCGCUGCCUCUUCUCCUCUUCGUUGCUCUACUUCUUCCCCUGAUUCCUCUUUUUCGUUUUUUCUCUUUGUGGCGCCGCCGAGGAUGAGUGGAGCGGCUGCUGAAGCAGGCACUGGUGCGCUGCUGGCGAAGCGGUGGUAAAUGGUGUCGUCGAUGUUGUCCUUGGCAGAAGGUAACCCAAGAUCAAUCUCUCACAAUAUUCCUUUGUCGUCUGUGUUCUUAUGAAACUUAGUGAUUGGACCUUCUCUAUUAUGUUUCACAAAUUGCUAUUUUUAGUUAUCCCCAUUGGCUUGCGGAUAUGCUCAUGCUGGGUUGUUCUUGUUUAUUUUCUCUAUCCAACAUCAUUGCAGGUUGGUGUUUCCUCUCUUUCUCAUUGCAGCUACCUAUGCCUCUAUUAUCUAGGAUUUUGCAAGUUAAAUACCCAUGUGUGCUGAACUGAAAAGUUCUCUAUGCAACAUCUAUUGCAGUUUGGUGUUUCCUACCUAUGCCUCUAUUAUUCUAGGAUUUUGAAAGUUAAUUUCUCAUGUGUGCUGAAUUGAAAAGCGCAAUGAAAGGCACUUAUUUCAAAGCACAAAUGCUUUUGUUGCUAUAAGAAUCUGUAGAGAAUAAAUAUAUAUGUCUCCUCCGUUCAUUGCCCUUUUUUGCGGGUAGUUCAUUGCCAUUUUGGAUUCAUAUGUGAAGUCUAUUGUUGUUAAUUAUAGUUAACUAAUUUAUUAAUUCAUGGUUGUUUUAGUUGCUAACCAUAUGAUUGGUAGCCUUGGACAGAAGAGGGCCAGCAACAAACAGAAGCAACCACAGUCCUGUCCAGAACAUGUAUAUCUUCAGUUUUGGUUGCCUUCCGUUUACUUGCCAACAAGCGACACUAAGCUCACAUAUUUACUGUUUGCUUUGUUAUAUACUUAAUCUACUAGACAAAGUGUAAAAUGGAAAUUCAUGGUCGACAAUUUUGUAUAUUUAUAAACCUAGAUGCUACUCUAAUUGGUUUUACUUCUUCCAUAUAUUUUCUCCUCUUGGUGUGUAUAAACAGUGCACAAAGUUAAUUUCUUUUCCUUCUCGACCGCAUCUAAUUAAAGAAAAUAGAGAGGAAUCUAAGAGAUACACAACCAAAAGAACUUUGCUUCUUUGACUUUUCGGCCGUGUCUAACUUUUGGUAAAAGAGAGAGGAAUUUGAGAUAGAUAGACAACUUGAAGAGCUUUGAACAGCUUUGAACGUUCAAGUAUGCCGCUGGCCUCCUCGCAGCUGCUAUCGCGUGGCUGGCACCAGUGUGUGGCAGCUUCUGAGAUGGGCGCAGUUUACUCCGGGUUCAGUGAUGGUGUUGAAAAGCACCUUAACUGAGCCAAGGAAUUUAGUAGCAUUGUGGGAUGAUUAACCAAUUUUUUCUGUUUCCUAUACUAUCUUAUCAUAUUAUAAUUUUGGUGUCCUGGUAGGCAGGGAUCAGCUUUGGUGGCAUCCGAUGCUGGCAGGCCACGGGGUUAGAGCAGAGGAAGCUAACAUGGUGUUCGAAAUUCAGAUGGUCAUUGUGAUCCACCAGAUGCUGCGCCUCAUGUCACCCCGAGCCUCAAGGGCUUGUUAGCAUCAUAAAGUAAGAAUAUGCUUGCAAGUGCUCGUUUCCCAUAUGCUUGCCCACUCCUGUCUCGCAUCAAGCUUUCGUUUAUUUCCCUAAAAUUCCUCUAAUUUUGUUGUGUGCAUGUCUGAGAAAGAAAUAAGAGGAAUAAGGUAUGGUAUGUCUUGGCGAAGUACAUUAUUCCCUGGCUUGUGAAAUUAAUGCGCCCAAAUUCGCGUUCGGUCUGGUUUCGGACUACAAUGGCUCACUGUGUUGUAUUGCAACUAAAAACAGAUGGACAUAAUAAAGAAGCUUGGUGAACAAAUAUAUAUAUGAACCCUCUACACGGUAUAGAUGCUAUAAUUUUUGUUAAAUGGAAGUUAGUUUCAGAUUCUUAAAAAUAUUAUCCUUCAGUCCUAUACAUACAAGGUAUUGUCCUCGCAUGGAUAUAGCCUGCAACCCGCAUCUCUAAACAACACAAACCUAUCCACAAUCAUAAACUUGUGUAUUGAUCCUCUAUUUAGAUUUCGUAUUAGCUCAUUCAAGCUUGUGUGAAUUUUUUGCGUUUGCUUUACAAUGGCACAAUGCAUUUCGGUCGAUAUAUAUGUGAUGCCAUUGGUUGGCCUAGAUCAGAUAGCUAGAUUUGAUCGAUUUGGUUAAUAUAUGUUUAUGUUUCUGUUUAGGUUUCAGCACCUUUUGAUGUGUGUGCGUGCUGCCAUUGAGUAACUUGAUCUGUUUCCUAGCUAUUCUAUGUGCAUUUACAUGUAUAGGAUAGUCAUUUUGAUUCAGUUAAGAUAUGUUCAGAUUUCUGUUUAGAUUUCGGCACCUUUUAAAUGUGCUACCAUGGGGUAACCUAAGUCUAUUUUAAUGGCAACAGGACAUGCAAGUGCAUGGCCCACUGCUAAUAGUCCUACAAGCGACCGGAAUUGUUGCUGUUUUGACUUUAUCUGCUACAUGGUCUCUAUGUUUUCCCGUUGCUUCAUUCAGUAUGUCCACGUCAAACCAUAAAUUACAUGCAUUUGAAUGAUGUUAGCUUAGCACUCGAUGAUAAAUGUGAUGUUGUUUUUAUGUUAAUGUGAAACCCGAUCUAUCGGUUGUUAGUUUGAAUCAGUACCCAAGCCAUCCUCCUCACUGCCCUCCUCUCAUCUAUUCAGGUAGUUCUUCCUUCUUGGUAACAAUGAGAAAACGAUUAGGUUGGUUACACAGUAUACUUCAUGAUUGCGGUAGGCACAAAAUGAUUGGCAGACUAAAAUAACUAUACCUCAUUUCUAUUAUCAAGCUCUAAGUGUAUAUUGAGAUGCCUUUGUACAAUGAGAGAUCCAUGGGGUUGUAGGUUUUUGUGAUGUUUGUGGUCUUCUCUUUUCUUUUUCUUGAUUUGUAUUGGAUAUGCUACUCGCAUCUUUGAACAUGCAUAGGGCCUCUCAGUCUUUAACCCUGACUAUAAAAAUCCAUUGAUGGAAGCUGGGGAGGGCUGAGAUGAACAUCCGGCUCCUUGGGUCUAAGCCAUCAAGAUGGUAGAGACGAUGUUUCCAUGUCAUCUACUCCAGCAGCUGGACAAGGCAUAUAAAAACCAUGGAUCCUUUGCUCCCCAGGCCGCAAAAUGAUCACAAUGUCUGCGACCUCCUCCUAGAUGUAUUAAUCUCAAUCUCAUGUUUGGUUUUCUUCCCUUUUCUCUACUAAUAAUGUAAUUUCUUUUACUAAGAUAAUACCACGUUUGUUGUAAUGCCUUAUUUGAUGUAAGAUCCCUUUUCUACUUUGAAUGAAUUUACCGCAUAUAUUUCUUAUUUAGUUUAGUUCAUCAUUCAGAGACGAUGGAAUAUUUUGUCCUUCACAGGUUAAAUGAGCAUUGUGUAGUCCUUCACAGGUUAAAUGAGCAUUGCGUAAAAGUAUUUCUAAGUUCUCUUUCUUCAAGUGCUUC
rnacentral:lncRNA from 1 species